UAAUAGACUCGUAUAAGACGAAAUUAAAAAUUAUUUGUAUUGGUUGAAUGGGAGUGUGUGAAAGGAAAGUGCCCAAAAUGGGGGUGAAUGAACGGGUGAAUGAAUGAUGGAAGAGAAAAGAAAGUACGUUUGGGUUUAGCAGGAGGUCAAGGAUGGGGCCCAUGCGGUUUUGUGGAGGUCCUUAAAGAUUAGAUUUAAAAAAUAAAAAUAAAAAUAAAAUUAAAAAAAAAAAAAAAAAAGAAAGGGGGAAAGAAGAAGGAAAUUAAGGCAGUCAAAUAGGUAUACGUACAUAAACACAAAAACAGUUUCAAGAGGUGGUUUUUCUUUCGUGGUUUGUUUCCUCUGAGGCAGCAAAUGAUGUGAGCUGCGCAAAAGCUCAGCCAAGAAACAAUUAAUAUGAAAGCAGGCCAGUCCCGGUCUGCACCGUAAACAAAACUGAAAGGAGUUAUUUCUCUAUAAACCUAACGUUUCACACCUUUGAUUUGGUCAGAAUUAAUAUUCAACCAAAAACUAUUCUUACCAAAAACUAUUCUUCUUCUCUACCUCACCUCUCUCUCUCUCUCUCUCUCUCUCUAUAUAUAUAUAUAUGUAUAUAUAUAUAUAUAUAUCUUUCUUUCUCAAACUAUAUGUGACCCACCACCAUAUUCCAAAAAGCCAUCUCUUUCUCUCUCUGGUCGGAGAAAUUAUUAAUGUGAUCAGUAUCUCUCUCUUUGUUUGCUCUUCCUCUGUCUUCUUAGUGAGAGAGGUCCAUGUAUGGAUGGAGCUUUGACCAAGUGCUACUUCUAAUUAAAUCAUAUGUAUGAAGAAGAAGAAGAAGAAGAUGAAAAAGAAGAUGAAGUUGGAAAAACGGUUUCCAAUAUUUGACGGAGGGGAUAGUGCAUGGUUUAUAAAAUAAAGAUCUUGGCGCGGUUCAAUUUGAGGACAUGGUUAAUGGAGUAAAUUAGCCACGCCAUUUGAUUGAGCCGCGUCAAUAUCUCCUUUUGCACCUUUCUCCAUCCUCUCCUCUCCUGCAUCAUUCUUGGUACCGUAUAGGGAAAAUAAUAGGACAAAGAAGAGAAGUAGAAACAAUGAAAAUGAUGGAGACACUGGGGGUGGUGGGAACAGACAGUUAAUGAAGGAAUCGUCCAAACGCUUUCAGAGGACCUGUAGAUGGUGAAGAGGGAAUCAUAACUGCAAAUGCUAGUUGGGGCCUAGUCCCAUUUUUUAUUAUUAUUUAUUAUUUAUAACAUUUUUUUUUUUUCAGUUUGAAUGCAUUAAAUGUUCAAUCACCUGCACUAAUCUGAAAAUUUCUACAACUUGUCUCUUUUGGUGGAAUACUUAUUCAAACACAACACCAAUUGGGUUUUCUUUUUCCCAUCUUGGUUAAUUGAAUCACUGUUUAUAGACGGGUA